GGGGCUGUAGUGUAGCUUGGUAUCACUGGCGCUUGGGGUGCGUCCGACCGGAGUUCGAAUCUCCGCAGCCCCA
rnacentral:tRNA from 1 species